AUGAUUCCGCCAUUGUUCGGACUUAAUCCACCAAUCACCAUCACCAACCUCGCCUUCGUCUACUCUCAUCCUCGCGCUCACCACUAUCUCAUUCUAUCAACUCAUUUCAAUUUCAACACAGUAAUUUCACGUAUUCAGAGCAUUUCAUGGAUUAGGAAAAAAUCACAUAAGAGUGGAUGGAAUACUUACUUACUGGAGCAGCUCCGGUGGCUCUUGUUUGGUGAAAAAAAAGAAUCUGCUGCGAAUUUCUGUUGA